rnacentral:lncRNA from 1 species
UCCAAGCCCAGCUGAAUGCUUCUAUAAAAAGGACAUGGAAAACCUGAUUUGAUACAAAGGAAAUAAGGAACGAAAUAUUGAGAGAGAAUAAGGGUUUUAGUCUUGUGUGGUCGUGUGUUUUGUAAGUCAUUCAAUUCAUCCAUAGAUGAUUGAAUUGGUCUGAUUUUUGAGUUGUAAUUUGUCACUCAAAGCUUUUAAGCAUGAGUGUGUGUCUACUUGAUUGAAGUUGUUAAGUAAGAUCAAGUGUGUGUCUUUGAAG